AUUGAACGCUGGCGGCAGGCUUAACACAUGCAAGUCGAGCGGUAACAGAGAGAAGCUUGCUUCUCUGCUGACGAGCGGCGGACGGGUGAGUAAUGCCUAGGAAUCUGCCUAGUAGUGGGGGAUAACUUGCCGAAAGGUAAGCUAAUACCGCAUACGUCCUACGGGAGAAAGGAGGGGACCUUCGGGCCUUUCGCUAUUAGAUGGGCCUAGGUCGGAUUAGUUAGUUGGUGAGGUAAUGGCUCACCAAGACCGCGAUCCGUAACUGGUCUGAGAGGAUGAUCAGUCACACUGGAACUGAGACACGGUCCAGACUCCUACGGGAGGCAGCAGUGGGGAAUAUUGGACAAUGGGGGGAGCCCUGAUCCAGCCAUGCCGCGUGUGUGAAGAAGGUCUUAGGAUUGUAAAGCACUUUAAGUUGGGAGGAAGAGCAGUUAACUAAUAUUUGACUGUUUUGACGUUACCGACAGAAUAAGCACCGGCUAACUUCGUGCCAGCCGCCGCAGUAA
rnacentral:rRNA from 1 species